GGCACAGCAUUGCACUGUGGGUAGAGUAGCCUCUGCAUAGUGCUGGAGGAGCUGAGCAAAGUAUUGUCUAAGACUGAAGCUCUGCACAGGCCUAAUCAAUAAGUACAGGCAAACCUCGUUACUCGUGGGGAGUCUGUUCCUCGCCUUCUUCCACAAGUAAUGAGGCAUUGUGCCAAUGCGCCUAUGGAAAACAGGGGGUUUGGUUCCAGAAUGCACAAAAAAGUUUUUAAAAUGUCAAAAAAUGCCCCCCCCCAAUAACCCUAAUGUAGUGUGCUCCACAAGGUCUCAUUGUGCCCAGCAGUGCCCUCCAAACUGCGAAAUGCCCACCAAAACCAUGAAAAAUAGUUGGAAAAUGCUUUUUAAAAAAAGAGCUGAAAAACAACAGGGGGAAAUACUCUACCAUGCUCUGCGGGGUCUCUUUGUGCCCAGCAGGGCCCCUCAAGCUGUGAAAUGUGCCCCCAAACCACAAAAAGUUGUGGCGGAAAUGCUUGUUUUUGCAAGAAAUGAGCCACAAAAUGGCUCCUGGUGACAAAAUGGAGGGCUGAAAUGACCACAGCAGUCAAUUCGGCCCUCUAGGAACUGCAGAUAUAUGAGUUUUAAUCCUGGGUGUCAGUUAGACACGUGAGAAUAUGUGAAACUGCAGAUAUGGAAUCCGUGUAUAACGAAGUUCUCCUGUAACCAGGGUGCCACUCUUAGGACUAGGAGCUUCCACUGGCUUCCAGGCCUUGCAGUGAAGAAUAAUGCCUCUGGUAGUAAAAACCCUUCCUUCAACUAUUAAAUUUUCAAUUUCCACAAUACUGUUAAAUACACUUUACCCCAACCCCAGGAGGAGCUUUCUAGGCCACAGGAGGCUGCUGUGGGGAGGAAAGGGGAGGUGUGGGAAUAUAAUUUGCAAUCAUGCCACCCAUGGUUUUCCAAGCAAAAUUCAAAGACCAAUUUCAAAGGCAAUAUACAGACUUCAGGGCCGGAUACGGAUUUCAGUGGCUAUAACUAGAUUCCAAAACUAGUAUUUCCAUUUUUACCAGACAAACCUUACUGUAGAUAUAUGGUUUUUAAUAUCCAACUUUUAAAUAUUGGUUUGACAUCAAAGUGUGCUCCGAAUGAAAAACUCACUUCAGUGCUAUUUAAACUCUGUGCUGUGUUAUGAGUUUCACUUCUAACCCAAACUCUUGAGAUUUGCCCUUUGUAAACAAGGCGCUCUCUGCUUAAAUAAUUUUCUACUGUUUCCUAUUUCAUUUUUUCUUCUUUGUUUCUUUUUUGCAAGUCUGCAGGCCUUCUGUUUAGUGCAUCGCCUUUCAGCACAGCAAGAGGUCUGUUUGUGUGGGUGAAAUAAGAGAUUUGUCCGGACAGCCAGAGUUCACUUUCUGCUAAAGAUGGGAACAUUAUAGGUUCAUAAAUUGUUUCCUACAUAUUGAAUUGGUCUAGCCGUAGACUGCCUUUCUGGAUGGUUUUUAAAUAAUUGUCAAUAAUUCUUUUCCAUUUGCUUUCACCCCAGAAUUAUUGUGAGCUUCAGACCACAGCUCUCCUCCAUCAAGCUGAGAGAGAGAGACGCUAUUUCUCUCUGGUGCUCAUAAACAUGCAUUUGAAAUUAAGAUGUAAAGCAUGGUUUAAUAAUGAACUAAGGUCAUUUCCUGACAGAGGUGUGUGUGUUUUUUUUAGUGUCAACCAGACUGAUUUGGCAUGCCUGAAACCUGCAAGACUCACAGAAAUGUGACAUCUAAGGUGGGAAGAGAUCAUCCUUUGACCCAUUUCAGGACAGGUCAGGCAUUGACUUGAUACAGCAAUCUGUUAACAUACACUCCAGCUGUCUCUAUUUUCUGGUACAGGAGGACCUCGACAUUUGUGGGGGUUCCGUUCCCAGCUGCCACCACAGAUAUGGAAACUGUGAAUAUCAAGUCACUGGGGGCUAUGGGAUUGUGGGGGUUAGGUUCCUAGUUGUUAGGAGAAUCACUGAAAUUUGCCAAAUUUGGAGGGAGAAUGUGGAGGAAAGCUUCCUACCAUGCUUCGCUGCUCUCCCGCAGUCACACCGUGCCCUGGAGUGCACCCAAAUCAGCCAAAAAUCAAUGCCCCCCCCAGGAAAAAACUCUGAAACACAACCCACGGAUACGUGAGGUUGACGUGUUUUUUUCCUCCCCGCCCCCUGCAUAUGCUGAGGCCCAGUGUCUUUUACCCGGCCGUGGAUAUGCAAAUCCAUGGAUAAUGAAUCCACAGAUAUCAAGGCCCCCCUGUACUUGUCCCUGGUAAGCCUCUGGCCCUGUUUUGCAUUUUGCAGAUGGCUAAAAUGUUGCUGUUGGUGAACUGCUAAGUUGACAUGCUUCAGAAUUCAGCCCCCUCUCCCAGAUAUGUAACCAACCAUUAAACCUCUGAGUGGCAUGCAGAACUUCACUGAAAAAGCAACCCUGUGCAUGGACCAGGGUCCAAGGCUAAAUCGAAACGAGGACGCGGCAGAAACAGUAAUGCCUCGAUACAUACAUUCAUUCUGAUCACCGCUCACACAUUUUUGGAAAGCAUUACCAUCUGUUUUGCAGAUAAAUAUUACAAUAAUUAAUGUCAGCACAUGUUUACAUUAUAAAAUCUUAUAGGGUUGCCUCCCUUUCCUUUGCAGGAAUAAAAGAUGCCUUUUAAAGGACUGGAAUGAAAUGCCCUGUCAUUAUUAGGUAAAAUGAGUGUGUGUCAAUAAUGGCUUCUUUUAUUGCACAACUUGGAGACAUUUUAAUGUUCCUAUUCUCCAUUUAGGCCAAGUUUCUUGGCCAUCAUUAUUGCACAUAGAAAGACCCCAAAGAACUGAAAUUCUGCAGAUCUAGCAACAAAGGCUGUACCGUAUGGGGACACACAUGCACCUGGCCCUACAUUGCAAAUAUUUUGCAUACACACACACACACUCCAGAAAACUGUAUGGGAAGAUGGUAGAACAGAAGUGAGUAUCUAGGAGACUGUGUGCAUCCUCUUCAGUCAACAGUGAAUGACUGACAUACCACGCAAUGCUCCAUCUGCCUAGCAAUGGAGCAUUUGCACAGUUGCACGAGCACUCUUGCACACGAUGCUAGAAUUACAUGAGCGUAAUUGCAUAAUUGAGAGCCACUGGAAAGAAUGGCCCUCUGCUGCACAACUGCAUUUGCACAAUUCUAGCAUCUUGCACAAGAGCACAAUGCACCAACCCUCUAUUGUUAGGCAGAGACGGAGCACUGUGCAGUAUGUCAGCUAAUGUCACUUGAAGCCCAAGUCCCUUUAGGGAGCCUGCUGGGUGCUGUACUGCUAAGACAGUCACUCUGAUAGACACCGUGGGGCUCAAACUGGGAGCUUGGUGAAUGAGGCACUGGUUCCCUGUAUCACCAAGGCUGCUGAUCAGAGAGGAGAACUACAGGUAGUUCCAACUGAAGCAUUCACAGAAGAGCCCAUGAUCCUCCUGGCUUUGGAGGUCAGGUGACAUUAGAGGGCCAGUCCAGUCCCACUGACUGAUAUGAGGACUCUCAGACCUGCUGGUUCCCUCAUUCAGUAACUGGUCACUAGGGGAGGCAAUCAAGUCCUGGCAUCAGCCACUCUGUGAUAUUUGCUUUGUUUUAAACGUCUGGAAUAUUUUGCAUUUCAUCUUUUAAUGGUUCCACCCUGUUUGAAAUGUUUAUAUAGUGUGAACUACUACAAUAUGGAUGUGUUCAGAACCUCACAUACUGGCCACUUCCAUAUGGCAAUCAAGUGUGGGAUAGUCAAAGCUUUCAUACAAGUUCCACGUAUGCUCUUACUCCCCAUACACAUGCUGCUGAAGGUUUCCAUGCUACUUCAGUCUCCAUCACAGUUUUUAGAAAGCGUGUUAAAUCUUGGCUUUUUACCAAGGCUUUUAUAUGAUUGUCUCUAUUGCUGCUUCUUUGUAUAUUGUAUUUUGUAUGCUUGUAUUUUAAAUCUUUAGUUAGACUCAUGUUUUUAUAUUUUAGCUUAAUAUUUUAAUUGUGUAUUUUUAUAGUCUUGUUUUAAUUUUUCUGUGAACCACCUUGGGAUUCUUGUAAUGAAAGGUGGUAUAUAAAUUUAACAAUGAAUGAAUGAAUGAAUGAAUGAAUGAAUAAAUAAAUAAAUAAAUAAAUACUU